ensembl:processed_transcript BB218582 expressed sequence BB218582
GGGGUGGUCUCCAAUCAAACAGAGAAAAGGUCCUGGAGAAGAUGUAUCUUUAAAGCUGUCUUGCUGAAUUGGAAGUCCCUGGAGGGCAGAACUGGCACCCUGUUCAAUCUGGAAUGCCCAGAAAUUCAAUCAACAGAAGUCAGUAUUGAUUUCACACCCUCCUGGACCCCUAUUUGAGUCUCUGUGUGGUGGCCCCUCUCCCCGGAAGUGAAGUCUUCCAGACUAUGAGUUGUUUUGGUCAGAGUUAUUGGAAUAAGAAGAGAGACUUUGCCUUUUAAUUGGUCUUUUCCAGACUUCUGGUGAGAUUCCUAACACUACCAACCUCAGGAGUACAGAGCCCAGAGAAAGUCCAUUGGGGUCCAUUUUCAGGAUGGUGCAUAUGGGAACAAUAAUUUAUGAACAGUAAUAAGAGUUGGGGAUGCAAUUCCCUGCCCAACAUCAGGAUAAGUGUACCCCACUGAUUACCGAAUGCGCAGAAAAUCCUUGACUAAAUAAGAUAAAAGCAGUCUGCACUUCUUGUUUGUAAGUUGGCAUUUUUCAAAAGC